GUAGCUGCCUGGAGCUUGAGUGGGGAGUACUGUGUCUGGAGUAGGCUGCAACCCUGUAGCACCUUGGUCAGAGCAGUGCAGGCAGGAACCUGGGAAGAAGAGAACGAGCUCUGUCUGAGCAGCUGAGACUGAGCAGGGUGCUGUGGCUGAGGGGAAUUGGCCCAGGGAAAUGCAGCAAUGGUAGAGGCAAAGGAAUGCAGCGCAGGGGACGCUACGCACGGACGCGAGGCCCAGGACCUUCUCCUCUCCGGCUAAUUGGAAGCCUUUAAGGAGGACCGCUGGGGGGUCCCGACGACUGCCGGAUUUCGUCACAGGCGGGGAGACCCCCUGGGAUGAUGGACACCAGGAAAGCAGGACCUUCCACAGCUGGAGUCCAGUAUCACGUGAUCUAGUCACAUGCCCUUGCAUGCAUUGAUGAGUCAUAGAAGCCAUCACUUAUAUACUGGCUGAAUCGGUGGCAGGAGAGCCCAUCAGGUGAGGAUGAGCUUUUCCCAUGGCCCAUUGUUUUCGUUGACGGGCCAUAACCUUGAAUACUCCCUUCACAGUGUGCUGGCUAGACUGGAUGUAAAUUAACUUGUGCGAGUUACCCAGGAGCAAGCACAUUUGAAAUACAGGUGCAAAGUCUAUUAAUAACUUCAGAUACAAAAAUGAUACACACCUACAAAUAGGAUAAUCAAUUCAGCAAACCACAACAUUUCCAAUGCCACCUCACAUGACACAUUUUGUACAAAUCAUAUCAUAAUAUCACUAUGGUGAAUAUGGGAUGCAGAGUGUUACCUUGGGGCACAGAUUGUCACACUGAGGUGCACCAA